rnacentral:rRNA from 1 species
CACAAUGGGCGGAAGCUGAUGCAGCGACGCCGCGUGAGGGAUGACGGCCUUCGGGUUGUAAACCUCUUUCAGCAGGGAAGAAGCCACAAGUGACGGUACCUGCAGAAGAAGCGCCGGCUAACUACGUGCCAGCAGCCGCGGUAAUACGUAGGGCGCAAGCGUUGUCCGGAAUUAUUGGGCGUAAAGAGCUCGUAGGCGGUCUGUCGCGUCUGCUGUGAAAGCCCGGGGCUCAACCCCGGGUCUGCAGUGGGUACGGGCAGACUAGAGUGCAGUAGGGGAGACUGGAAUUCCUGGUGUAGCGGUGAAAUGCGCAGAUAUCAGGAGGAACACCGAUGGCGAAGGCAGGUCUCUGGGCUGUUACUGACGCUGAGGAGCGAAAGCAUGGGGAGCGAACAGGAUUAGAUACCCUGGUAGUCCAUGCCGUAAACGUUGGGCACUAGGUGUGGGGGACAUUCCACGUUCUCCGCGCCGUAGCUAACGCAUUAAGUGCCCCGCCUGGGGAGUACGGCCGCAAGGCUAAAACUCAAAGGAAUUGACGGGGGCCCGCACAAGCGGCGGAGCAUGCGGAUUAAUUCGAUGCAACGCGAAGAACCUUACCAAGGCUUGACAUUCACCGG